UCUUCCUCUGUCCAGCGAGCUCUAAGUCUUAAUUUCAUCUCUUAAUUUUUCUAUUGUUGUACGUGGUGUUUUGAGGAAAUGCAAACUCGUGGGUUUGAGGGAGAUCAAGUUCAUAACCUUUCAAUUAACCAUUCAGGAAAAAUAAGAAAGAGCUUUCAAAGUUUUGGAGUUUAAAGAAUUGGGUUGGUGAUUUUAGAGAAAUUUAUGUUGAAACCCGUAUUCCUGGAUAUACCUUCACUAAAAAGGGAUGAGCUCUAUGGACGUGUUUGAAGUUGGAGUUCUGAAGCUGAUUAUGCAGAAAAAAUCAGUCAUGGAAGUUGCGUAUUUGAGCGACACCAACAGACGUUUAAGAGCGUGUGGAACAACUCGGAAUUGCUAGACAUCCCAAGUAAACAGGUUAACCGGAGCAAGGACCAGGCAGAAACUGAUGAUCGAGGUUGAGCUUGGAUUAUCGGAUUAGAAGACUACCAUCUUCUUUUUUGUUUUUUGUUAAUCUGUUAUUAAGAUUUCAGUCAUCAUUUCAGCUGUGUUGUAUUGAUUAUCACAUUAUUCUCGUGAUAAUUUGUAAUUCGAUUAAUUAUUCUGUAAAUUUUAUGUACUCAGAUUCAAUUAUUAAUAUCUCGACUAAAUA